UGUAAACCUGUAAAGUUUAAAACGUCAAAUAAAAAGAUAUCCACAAACUAAGAAGUCAAAUUGCAUAACCCUGAAACUUUAAAUUAAGGAGAAAAAGAGGUAUAUCAUUAUCUUUCUUGUAAAUUUAUGCCGAAAGUUUUCAUUUGCCAAUAAUUAUGCCACCUAUAUAGCCUAAAAGUGAUAUUAAAUCUAACCAAAACUUUGUGGUCCAAAAUAGAACC
rnacentral:lncRNA from 1 species